UAUUCUAUUACAGACAAUCGCGCUGUUCUGAUUUAAUCAGAAUGUGAGGAAAGUCCGGACUCCGCAAUGAGCAGUGAUGCCCGGAGAAAUUCCGGGGUUUUAUAAUCGCAAGCUUAUAAAACAGAAAGUGUCACAGAAAAUAUACCGCUUUGAUUUAUCAGAGUAAGGGUGAAAAGGCAGGGUAAGAGCCUACCAUCCGGAAAGUAAUUUCCGGGAUUGAAAAACCUCAUCAGGAGCAAGACCAUGUAUAGAGAAUGAAGCUCUGCUCACUUUAUAUUCUCGGGGUAGGUCGCAAAAAGCUUGACAGUAAUGUCAAGAUAAGAUAAAUGAUUGUCAUUAAGACAGAAUCCGGCUUACGUAAUAGAAUAGAAU
rnacentral:RNase_P_RNA from 1 species